AGCCUGAACGCUGGCGGCGUGGCUAAGACAUGCAAGUCGCACGGAUGUAGCAAUACAUCAGUGGCGGACGGGUGAGUAAUGAAUCGCUAACGUACCCCCAGACACCGGGAUAGCUAACCGAAAGGUUAGGUAAUACCAGAUGAUACAACCUGAUCGCAUGGUCGGGUUUUCAAAGGCCGCAAGGCGGUCUGGGAGCGGGCGAUUUCGUAUCAGCUAGUUGGUGAGGUAACGGCUCACCAAGGCGACGACGCGUAGCCGGACUGAGAGGUUGGCCGGCCACAUUGGGACUGAGACACUGCCCAGACUCCUACGGGGGCUGCAGUAACGAAUCUUCCGCAAUGCACGAAAGUGUGACGGAGCGACGCCGCGUGUGGGACGAAGCCCUUCGGGGUGUAAACCACUGUCAGAGGUAAGAAAGUUCUGAUCUACCUCAGAGGAAGGCACGGCUAACUCUGUGCCAGCAGCCGCGGU
rnacentral:rRNA from 1 species